UACGUAGGGUGCAAGCGUUGUCCGGAAUUAUUGGGCGUAAAGAGCUCGUAGGCGGUCUGUCGCGUCUGCUGUGAAAACUCAGGGCUUAACCCUGAGCUUGCAGUGGGUACGGGCAGACUAGAGUGGCGGUAGGGGAGACUGGAAUUCUUGGUGUAGCGGUGAAAUGCGCAGAUAUCGGGAGGAACACCUAUGGCGAAGGCAGCUCGCUGGGACGUUACUGACGCUGGAGGCGACGAAAUGCUAGGGGAGCAAACGGG
rnacentral:rRNA from 1 species